AACGAACGCUGGCGGCAUGCCUAACACAUGCAAGUCGAACGCCCGUAGCAAUACGGGAGUGGCAGACGGGUGCAUAACACGUGGGAACCUACCCUAGGGUUCGGAAUAACCGCGGGAAACUGCGGCUAAUACCGGAUACGUCCUCUGGGAGAAAGAUCUAUCGCCCUUGGAGGGGCCCGCGUCGGAUUAGCUAGUUGGUGAGGUAACGGCUCACCAAGGCGACGAUCCGUAGCUGAUCUGAGAGGAUGAUCAGCCACACUGGAACUGAGACACGGUCCAGACUCCUACGGGAGGCAGCAGUGGGGAAUAUUGGACAAUGGGCGCAAGCCUGAUCCAGCAAUGCCGCGUGGGUGAUGAAGGCCUUCGGGUUGUAAAGCCCUCUUGGCAGGGACGACGAUGACGGUACCUGCAGAAUAAGCCCCGGCUAACUUCGUGCCAGCCGCCGCCGUAA
rnacentral:rRNA from 1 species